AACAAACGCUGGCGGCGUGCCUAAUACAUGCAAGUCGAACGGGGAAAGCUUUCGGGUGAGUACUAGUGGCGCACGGGUGAGUAACGCGUGGAUAAUCUGCCUUAGAGUGGGGGAUAACUAGUCGAAAGAUUAGCUAAUACCGCAUAAGACCACAAGAACUGCGGUUCAAGAGGUCAAAGGUUUUUCGCUCCAAGAUGAGUCCGCGUAAGAUUAGCUAGUUGGUGAGGUAACGGCUCACCAAGGCAACGAUCUUUAACUGGUCUGAGAGGAUGAUCAGUCACACUGGAACUGAGACACGGUCCAGACUCCUACGGGAGGCAGCAGUAGGGAAUAUUGCACAAUGGAGGAAACUCUGAUGCAGCGACGCCGCGUGAGUGAUGAGGGCCUUCGGGUCGUAAAGCUCUGUCGCAGGGGAAUAACACAAUGAAUGUACCCUGUAAGAAAGGAUCGGCUAACUUCGUGCCAGCCGCCGCGGUAAGAC
rnacentral:rRNA from 1 species